rnacentral:rRNA from 1 species
GACGAACGCUGGCGGCGUGCCUAAUACAUGCAAGUUGAGCGAUGAAGCUUGGUGCUUGCACCAAUUUGAAGAGCAGCGGACGGGUGAGUAACGCGUGGGGAAUCUGCCUUUGAGCGGGGGACAACAUUUGGAAACGAAUGCUAAUACCGCAUAACAACUUUAAACAUAAGUUUUAAGUUUGAAAGAUGCAAUUGCUUCACUCAAUGGUGAUCCCGCGUUGUAUUAGCUAGUUGGUGAGGUAAAGGCUCACCAAGGCGAUGAUACAUAGCCGACCUGAGAGGGUGAUCGGCCACAUUGGAACUGAGACACGGCCCAAACUCCUACGGGAGGCAGCAGUAGGGAAUCUUCGGCAAUGGGCGAAAGUCUGACCGAGCAACGCCGCGUGAGUGAAGAAGGUUUUCGGAUCGUAAAACUCUGUUGGUAGAGAAGAACGUUGGUGUGAGUGGAAAGCUCAUCAAUGGACGGAAACUACCAAGAAGGGGAGGGCAAAUUAGUU